rnacentral:miRNA from 1 species
UAUGGUUUUCUCCAAUAUCUCA